rnacentral:lncRNA from 1 species
AGCAUAUUGCAUCAAUGCAUAUAGUUAUAAUUCAUUAUUCAUGAUGCAUGAUCACGACUACUUGCUACACAUGUGCCUUAAUUGUGUUUUAAUACGUGAUCGAAUACUUUUCUUAAACAGUGAUAAUACAUGAUACAUGUUAUUGAACUUCUACUUUAUGAUUUAACAUUAACUUAAAUGAUUUAUUGUAGUGAGAAGUUAAGUUUCUCGCUAAACGGUGAUAUAUUUGUCUUAGAUGCAUUUCUGCAUUUUAAUUAUGUUUUAAUAUGAUUAAUUACAUAUGUAAUUAUUUGAAGUAACUCAUAUUAGACUAAAACCAAAAGUAUGCAAAAGGGUGCAUUUUGAUUGGUUGGUUGACUAGGUUGCACGAGACCAUUCUGAAAUUGUUUACACUUGAUUAUAAUGAGUAAGCAUCAGCCCAUAUCUUAUCUCAAGCUAUAAAAACGUGGAGGAACCACAAGAAUCCAGCAAAUACAAGCCUUCCAAUCACCAUCCUCCAUUUGGUCUUGUUGGGAAUGGGUAGAUAAGUGAAGACUUUGUGUUUUGGUCUUCAUUUUCACUUGUCUUCUUCCAAAAACGACCAGACCUAUUUCCUUAAUCUUGUCUUCAUAUUUCUUCACUUCCGUACUUACAUAAGAGAGCAUCAAACCAUAAAAACUCAUAGAAGUAGAGCUAGAACAAGUUCUGCACCUUUUCUAGCUGAAAAUCCUAUGUUUUGAAGUUGAAUUCAUCUCUAAUCAAGGCUUCUAGCACACCUUAUCUAAAACUGAUCCUUUCAUUUCAUAAACCAUUAUUGAUCUUGAGGUAAGUUGAAGCUUUCAUUUGCACAUCGUAGACCUAAUUAUGUGCGCUUUAAUGUGACUUUUGCUAUGUAUUCUCUAUGAUGUUUGAAUGAUUGAUGAGUCAUAGUGAUAUGAAAGAAUAUGUUUUGAAAAUGGGAGUAUGGUACUUGAUUGAUGGUCGAGUAGGCAAGGGACGCGGGAGGAACCGGCGGACCCAACACAUGGUGGCAAAUACCUGAGGUCGAAAGACCAGUAUGGAAAACCCACAAUUAAAGAAAUGAAAUACGGCUAAUACCUGAGGUCGAAAGGCCGGUAUGGAAACCCCCGUAUUAUCUAUUGGCCAAAUUUGAUGAACAGGUUCCAAAAAUCAAAGUCUAUUGCUAUCAGUCAAGUACCACACUUCAAGGGUACCCGAUAAAGAGAAGGAUUUCAAAGAAAAGGAUCACGAAUGAAGUUAUAGAUGUGAUAUUGUACUUAUUGAAUGGAUAAUGUGUUAUGUGAUUGAUAUAUUGCUAUUACAUCAGUUUCAACUUGCUGAGCCAUUAGCUCAUUAGGUUCUUAUGAUGCAGGUAAUGAUGUACAUGUUUAGAAGUUGACCUAGCCAAGAGCGGCUAGUCAGAUAUUUGUUCAUAUGCCAUGCUUCGAGCCAUUUUUGUAGCCGAGCAGAAACUCUGAUUUCAUUUUGUUAGCCGCUCUAUUAUGGUUUUUGUACAAUGUAAUUUUGUAAACAAUGAAUAUAUAUAUGUACGGAUUUUGAGAAAGUACUAAGUUUGAUUUCUUUUCAAAGCAUAUAACGUAUUUUUGUAUUAAAACCAUAAUGUUUAAGUAUAUAUAUAAAAAGCUUAGCAUCCCUAACUUAAUGGCGGUGAUCCGAUUGGAUUCUGCUGUUAGGUUGUGCGGUGUUACAUUUUUGGUAUCAGAGCGGAGGUUUAAAAUCUUUUCUGAAGACAGAAGAAGGCAUAUGAACAUACUUUGGCUGGGAAGCUAGGUUAGAUACGCACAUAAGUAAGUAUACAAAGGCAUACACAAAAUUACUCACGCAAAAGUGCAUUCGCAAAAAGGAUCAUGAAAACACAAACUACAAUCCUAGGACAUUAAUUGUAAUGCCCAACCAUCCAUACAUGGCCAAUAAAAAGCAUAUUGCAUCAAUGCAUAUAGUUAUAAUUCAUUAUUCAUGAUGCAUGAUCACGACUACUUGCUACACAUGUGCCUUAAUUGUGUUUUAAUACGUGAUCGAAUACUUUUCUUAAACAGUGAUAAUACAUGAUACAUGUUAUUGAACUUCUACUUUAUGAUUUAACAUUAACUUAAAUGAUUUAUUGUAGUGAGAAGUUAAGUUUCUCGCUAAACGGUGAUAUAUUUGUCUUAGAUGCAUUUCUGCAUUUUAAUUAUGUUUUAAUAUGAUUAAUUACAUAUGUAAUUAUUUGAAGUAACUCAUAUUAGACUAAAACCAAAAGUAUGCAAAAGGGUGCAUUUUGAUUGGUUGGUUGACUAGGUUGCACGAGACCAUUCUGAAAUUGUUUACACUUGAUUAUAAUGAGUAAGCAUCAGCCCAUAUCUUAUCUCAAGCUAUAAAAACGUGGAGGAACCACAAGAAUCCAGCAAAUACAAGCCUUCCAAUCACCAUCCUCCAUUUGGUCUUGUUGGGAAUGGGUAGAUAAGUGAAGACUUUGUGUUUUGGUCUUCAUUUUCACUUGUCUUCUUCCAAAAACGACCAGACCUAUUUCCUUAAUCUUGUCUUCAUAUUUCUUCACUUCCGUACUUACAUAAGAGAGCAUCAAACCAUAAAAAUCAUAGAAGUAGAGCUAGAACAAGUUCUGCCCCUUUUCUAGCUGAAAAUCCUAUGUUUUGAAGUUGAAUUCAUCUCUAAUCAAGGCUUCUAGCACACCUUAUCUAAGACUAAUCCUUUCAUUUCAUAAACCAUUAUUGAUCUUGAGGUAAGUUGAAG